rnacentral:rRNA from 1 species
GAUGAACGCUGGCGGCGUGCCUAAUACAUGCAAGUCGAGCGAACAGACGAGGAGCUUGCUUCUUUGACGUUAGCGGCGGACGGGUGAGUAACACGUAGGUAACCUACCUAUAAGACUGGGAUAACUUCGGGAAACCGGAGCUAAUACCGGAUGAUAUUUUGAACCGCAUGGUUCGAUAGUGAAAGACGGCCUUGCUGUCACUUAUAGAUGGAUCCGCGCUGCAUUAGCUAGUUGGUAAGGUAACGGCUUACCAAGGCAACGAUGCGUAGCCGACCUGAGAGGGUGAUCGGCCACACUGGAACUGAGACACGGUCCAGACUCCUACGGGAGGCAGCAGUAGGGAAUCUUCCGCAAUGGGCGAAAGCCUGACGGAGCAACGCCGCGUGAGUGAUGAAGGUCUUCGGAUCGUAAAACUCUGUUAUUAGGGAAGAACAAAUGUGUAAGUAACUGUGCACGUCUUGACGGUACCUAAUCAGAAAGCCACGGCUAACUACGUG